AAACAAGUAUUAAAGGCAACGCCUGCCCAGUGAACAAUUAAACGGCCGCGGUACCCUAACCGUGCAAAGGUAGCAUAAUCAUUUGUCUACUAAUUAUAGACCUGUAUGAAAGGCAAAAUGAGGGUUUAACUGUCUCUUAUAGUUGACCAAUUAAACUGAUCUCCUAGUAAAAAAGCUAAGAUACCAACAUAAGACCAGAAGACCCUGUGAAGCUUCAAUUAAACUAUUAAACCCAAUAAUAAUUAAUUUAGGUUGGGGCGACCUUGGAAACAAAAAGAACUUCCAAAAGUGAUAUACUCACACCAACAGGCACACAAGCCAUUAAACGACCCAGUACAGCUGAUAAACGAACCAAGUUACUCCAGGGAUAACAGCGCAAUCUUCUUCAAGAGCCCAUAUCAAAAAGAAGGUUUACGACCUCGAUGUUGGAUCAGGACAUCCUAAUGGUGCAACCGCUAUUAAGGGUUCGUUUGUUCAACGAUUAACAGUCCCACGUGAUCUGAG
rnacentral:rRNA from 1 species